AGAGUUUGAUCCUGGCUCAGGACGAACGCUGGCGGCGUGCCUAAUACAUGCAAGUCGAACGCUUCUUUUUCCACCGGAGCUUGCUCCACCGGAAAAAGAGGAGUGGCGAACGGGUGAGUAACACGUGGGUAACCUGCCCAUCAGAAGGGGAUAACACUUGGAAACAGGUGCUAAUACCGUAUAACAAUCGAAACCGCAUGGUUUUGAUUUGAAAGGCGCUUUCGGGUGUCGCUGAUGGAUGGACCCGCGGUGCAUUAGCUAGUUGGUGAGGUAACGGCUCACCAAGGCCACGAUGCAUAGCCGACCUGAGAGGGUGAUCGGCCACAUUGGGACUGAGACACGGCCCAAACUCCUACGGGAGGCAGCAGUAGGGAAUCUUCGGCAAUGGACGAAAGUCUGACCGAGCAACGCCGCGUGAGUGAAGAAGGUUUUCGGAUCGUAAAACUCUGUUGUUAGAGAAGAACAAGGAUGAGAGUAACUGUUCAUCCCUUGACGGUAUCUAACCAGAAAGCCACGGCUAACUACGUGCCAGCAGCCGCGGUAAUACGUAGGUGGCAAGCGUUGUCCGGAUUUAUUGGGCGUAAAGCGAGCGCAAGCGGUUUCUUAAGUCUGAUGUGAAAGCCCCCGGCUCAACCGGGGAGGGUCAUUGGAAACUGGGAGACUUGAGUGCAGAAGAGGAGAGUGGAAUUCCAUGUGUAGCGGUGAAAUGCGUAGAUAUAUGGAGGAACACCAGUGGCGAAGGCGGCUCUCUGGUCUGUAACUGACGCUGAGGCUCGAAAGCGUGGGGAGCAAACAGGAUUAGAUACCCUGGUAGUCCACGCCGUAAACGAUGAGUGCUAAGUGUUGGAGGGUUUCCGCCCUUCAGUGCUGCAGCUAACGCAUUAAGCACUCCGCCUGGGGAGUACGACCGCAAGGUUGAAACUCAAAGGAAUUGACGGGGGCCCGCACAAGCGGUGGAGCAUGUGGUUUAAUUCGAAGCAACGCGAAGAACCUUACCAGGUCUUGACAUCCUUUGACCACUCUAGAGAUAGAGCUUCCCCUUCGGGGGCAAAGUGACAGGUGGUGCAUGGUUGUCGUCAGCUCGUGUCGUGAGAUGUUGGGUUAAGUCCCGCAACGAGCGCAACCCUUAUUGUUAGUUGCCAUCAUUCAGUUGGGCACUCUAGCAAGACUGCCGGUGACAAACCGGAGGAAGGUGGGGAUGACGUCAAAUCAUCAUGCCCCUUAUGACCUGGGCUACACACGUGCUACAAUGGGAAGUACAACGAGUCGCGAAGUCGCGAGGCUAAGCUAAUCUCUUAAAGCUUCUCUCAGUUCGGAUUGCAGGCUGCAACUCGCCUGCAUGAAGCCGGAAUCGCUAGUAAUCGCGGAUCAGCACGCCGCGGUGAAUACGUUCCCGGGCCUUGUACACACCGCCCGUCACACCACGAGAGUUUGUAACACCCGAAGUCGGUGAGGUAACCUUUUUGGAGCCAGCCGCCUAAGGUGGGAUAGAUGAUUGGGGUGAAGUCGUAACAAGGUAGCCGUAUCGGAAGGUGCGGCUGGAUCACCU
rnacentral:rRNA from 2 species